GGUCGAGUGGUGAAAUGGUUAUCACUCUGGACUUUGAAUCCAGCAUUCCGAGUUCGAGUCUCGGCCCGACCU